UACGUAGGGUGCGAGCGUGUCCGGAAUUAUUGGGCGUAAAGAGCGUGUAGGCGGUUUGGUAGGUCCGCUGUGAAAACUCGAGGCUCAACCUCGAGACGCCGGUGGAAACCAUCAGACUAGAGUCCGGAAGAGGAGAGUGGAAUUCCUGGUGUAGCGGUGAAAUGCGCAGAUAUCAGGAAGAACACCCGUGGCUAAGGCGGCUCUCUAGUACGGUACUGACGCUGAGACGCGAAAGCGUGGGGAGCGAACAGG
rnacentral:rRNA from 1 species